CUGGCAUGAAAACGCUACCAGAGCAGCAUCAGACACAGAUCUGACAGCCUCUGUCAGGGGUGAGAGCCGCAGAAGAAAGGCUAUCUUUAACUGAGAAGCAGGAAAUAGAAGUUGUCCAAGGGAAGGAACAAAAUAGUCACCGCGGAAGAAACUGCAUGUUUGUGUCGAUGAGGCCGACUGCUGAUCAGUGAGGGGCUAAUGUACAGCAGAGAAUUCUGGAGGAAUCAUGAGGAUCCUCUAAUUUAAUGUGAAAGUGGAUUAGUUUAAAAAUAAAAUCUAUUUCUCUACUAUUUGUAAGGCUGAAAUCCUGUGAAGAAGUUUUUAAAAAGUAAUAGACAUAGGAAAAAUAGUUGGUGGACUGUAUUUUCAUGCAUUAGUUUCAUGGCCUUUGAAGCCCUUGCUUAAUAGGACUUUUAAAAGGUACGUAUCAUGAGACUGCUGUUACCAAGAGAAUUAGCUGAGAUUUAAGAGAAACAACAUGCAUAAGCAAGACUCAUUAGAUCACCAAAUUUUUUUUAGAUUUAUUUACAAGAAGCUGCAAAAAUACUUACAAUGUGACCUUCACCCAAUUCCUGUUAUGAUAACAUAUUAUACAGCCCUGUCCACUACAAAAUCCAGAGAAAUGACAUUGGUACAGCAUUAAACUGCAGACCCUAUGCAAAACUCACUAGUUUUUGCCUGAACUUGUAUUUGGAAUUCUGUUGGUGGUUAAGGUUCACGUAACCAAAACCACAAUUAAGAUACGGAACUGUUUCACCACCACAAAUAAGCCCUCUAGAACUACUCCCCUAUCAUCGCCACCUACUUCACAAUCCCUAACCUCUGACGGUAACUGGUCCAUUUUUCAAGACGAGUAUUUUUGCAGCUCAACAGUAUUAGACAAUUAGAACCAUGUAAUGUGUAAUCUUUUGAGGCAGACUUUUUGCAGCAUGAUGCCCCUGAGAUCUGUGUAAAACUGUUGUCUGUAUCAAUACUGUACUCCUCUAUAAUGCUGAGUAUUAUUGCAUUGUAUAGACACAUUGUAGUUUAUUUACAUGCUGGUGGUUAUUUGGAUUGCUUCCAAUUUGGGGUGAUUACAAAUAAAGCUGCUAUAAAUAUUUGCAUAGAUUUGUGCAUGAAUGUAACUUUCCCUUUCUCUAUGGUAAAUACUCAGGAAUGUGGUUGCUGAGUCAUAUGGGAAAUGUAUGUUUAAUUUUAAAAGAAAUGUCAAAGUGUUUUCCACAAAAGCGGUGUCACUUUACUCUGCCAGUAGCAAUGUACAAUACAAUCAUUCUGCAUUUUCACCAGUACUAGUUACUGUCAAUCAGUUUCACUUUUACCUAAUAUAUACAUAUACAUAUAUAUAUGCAGCAGUUUUAAUUUGUACUUUUCUUAUGUUAAUGAAAAUAUUAUGUUGCUUCUUAGCCUUUAUAUAUAUCUUCUCUUACCCUUUAACGUUUCAAAAAUGGUAUGAAGAAAGAAUGCAUAAUAACAUCUCCAACUGUAUAUUUAGUAAACUCUUGUAGGUAAUUAAAUGGUAAGACAACAGAAAUAAAUAUACGAAAAGCUAAUGAAACUAGCUGUAUAUUCGAAUAACAAGUAGACAAGCGUAAAUUUAGAAAAUGUAAUCUAAUUUACUUAGAAAGUACCACUAUAGUGACGAUUUGCUAGAUACUAUUAAGAUGGUGCAGGUGUGGUGCUAAAAAUCAUGCAGCAUAAAUCGACACUGUCGUAGACUUAACUAUUUCCCCUUACUCUAGAUUACGUCCAACAGCCAGCAUCUUCAUCCCUGUGCCCGAGGGACCCUUUCCCCCCGAACUGCGAAAGCGCUAGGUGCACCACAGUGACGGCGCAGCACAGACCUCUGCAGGACAUUCCACGACCAGGAACAGAAAAUAGACUCGCUCUCUCCUAUGUUAGAUACCUGUACCUCCUGAAUAAGCUUUGUUCUAAAGUCUAUGUCCCUCAUUCUGCAGCUGAGAAAAGCCAUAUAAGUUAAAUCAUCCACCAUAAGAAAGUGAUUCUCAUUAAAAAUAAAAAUAUUUGGAAGAAAAGGACAGUGACAAUAAAUAAGAUGCAUAUAC